CCUAAAUCAUGUACACUUAAUUCUAAUACAUUUAAAUUGAAUGGGCAGGAGUCAAGCGGAUGGGGACUGACUAUUUUAAAUGGUGCCUAAAGACAGAACAAGGGGCAACAGGCACAAAUUGGAGCAAAAUAAAUUCCAAACAUGAGGAAAAAUUUAUUUACUUUGAGGAUGGCAGAGCACUGGAACAGGCUGCUCAUAAUUCUGGCGGAGUCUCUUUCUCUGGAGAUAAUCAAAAUCUGCCCAGACCCUUUCUUGUGGAACCUACUGCAGGGAGUCUUCUUUAGGAGGGGUUUGGACUGGAUGAUCUCCAGAGGUCACUUCCAACCUCAUAUGAUUCUGUAAUUCUGUGAUCUUAUCAUUUCCGUCCAAGGGCCAGAUGGCAAUGACAUUCCCAGAGUUAAACAAAUGGUGCUGCUGAGCAAUCUGGACUAAAACUUGUCUCUGAUGUUGCAAAAAUAGUGCUUUGCAGAGUCUUUUCUCCUUUUGGUCUCUGCCUGACGUCUGCACAUUUUUGUCUGGGUGCUGACCACAGCCCAUCACCCUGUCACUUAAAAGAAACCAACUGGAUUGGUGGAUUAUAGCUGGUUUAUAAUUAAUGUAAAGAUCAAGAUGCUUGCCAAGUCAGUGAAUAGACUACAUCCAUCAUUUGAUCACCUACAGCUACAAAUACACCUGGGAGCAGCCCUUCACUUUGUGACUUUCUCAGAAAUGAGUGUGAGAGUAUCUUCGUUCCUCCCCCAUACUUACGAAUGCCAGAAUGGAAUGCUGCUAUUAUUCUGCUCUUGACUUUGCCCUCUGGGAUGUAACAUUCUGGUUAAACUGUGCAUUUGCAGACUUGUUUCUCAUUUUUGCUCUUGAUCAAGAUGAGAGCUGCAAGUGAAUCUAAUAUACAUAUGAUGAAAAAUACUUUGGAAAACAACACUGACAAACGAUGGCAAGAGGAGGCUGCUGUGAAACAAAACCCAGGAAGAGAGGACAAUUCAGAAUUUGAGAAACGUCAUUGGAGAGUUAGUGGCAAUAAAGGCAUUCCCCAGCUUUGGCAUUACAGAGGCCAUUUUGCAAUGACAAGAUGUGUAAUGUUGGCAAACGAGAAUGUUCAGCAUCCAAGCUGCUGGCCUGCAUCUCUGGCUGGAUCACUCAUGGAAUAAAGCAGUAUUUCACAUCCUAAAAGACUGUGUUCUGCCACUGCACUUCUCUCACAUUAAUAAGAGUGACUGGAAUUAUGUCAGCAUUUUAGAGCAACUCGUGCCUCCGAAUUCCAGGGCACUUUGUAGGGACAUGGUCUAAAUAGAAAAUGCAUCAGAGGACUCAUUAGCACUCUGUGCUUUUCCUGUCCUUCGGUUUCUUUUGUAAAAAGGGGCUGGUCCUGAAUCCCUCCUACAGUGCUUUGAGAACAGAGAAUAUACAUAGUAUGCUGGAAACUACAUGGCUGCAUUAACAACACUCCAGCUUGACUUGUUAUAAUCCUGAAUACGUGUACACUUACCACUGCAGAUCUGGCCUGUACACAGCUGUUGGCUGAGACACAGGGGAGCAGCCCAGUGUAGAGGUAGUUCUUUGAAUGUCAAAUUCCCUUUUCAAGCAUCCAGUUAUGGGAGGCAAUUCACUUGCAGCUUUGCUGAGCAUAUCCCAUUCAUAUAUGGUCCUUUUGGACAGCUGUCUUGGCUGUCUU
rnacentral:lncRNA from 1 species